AAGUAAUUAAGCAUAUAAACCGUUCGUUCUUGCGUUCAUUCGAUCGGGAUCGAUCUAGUAUUGGUCGGCGGCGUGCUUCUUGGCGUCCUUCUUCUCGUGGUGCUCGUGGAAGGCGAACCCCGCGGCGCCCAGCGCGGCCACCGCCGCCACCUCCUCCUUCACCUUGUGCCCGUGCGCGUUCUCCGUGUCCUUCUUCGCCUGGUGCUUCUCGUGCUGCAACGACGUACCACAAAUAAAUUCUCCGUUAAUUAUCUCUUAAUUAAUCAGCUAUGGCUAGGUAGUUAUCAUUAGAUCAUAGUUCACCACUACAUAAUCGAUUUUUCCAAGCGGCUAAAACAUAUAGGUUAGUUAAAGUGGGGGAUGACAUAUACGUCUGCGAAAAUCGAUUUUCUUGUAAUAGUGGUGGUCAAAUGUACUAAUUAAUGACUUACGAGAGCGUAGGCGCCGGCGGCGAUGGCGCCGAGGCCGCCGAGCUGCUCGAGGUGCUUGUGGUGCUUCUUCUCCUUGUCGUAGUCCACCACGCCGGAGCUCUCCUCCUCCCCGUCCUUCUUGUGGUGGAACAGGUGGUGGUGCUUCUUCUCC
rnacentral:lncRNA from 1 species